GACACUUUCUAGCGUUUUCCGGUAGUGACUGCGCUGGAUUGUAGAACAUUUUCAUAUCGGGCUCUGCUACUGCUACCACUCGUAUGCAUAAUUAUCUACAUCAUCAGGAGUCCAAGUGGGAAAUGGAAAGCGACAAGCUACUACUUUAGCUGAACUCUGGAGCUCUGUUUGGAGCUUGACUUCAAGCUGCUCCAUCUGUGGAGGAAAAAAAAAGUUAAACAAUAUUUGUCUGAUCUUAGAUUAGAUGCAUUAUCGGAAACACACACAUAUAGAUAUCAAAUAUACAUCAUAUUACCAUUUGAGGAACCCCAAAGAUGACCACGUUGGAAUACUCUGAAAAACUGACCUAUGAAAAGAGUUUAAUGUCACCAUGGAAUCAAAAUGGACAGUUUGUAUUUUUUUGGAUAAAGCAGUAUUUAUGAU